AAUCCUGGUUGAAGAUGGGUGGACCAUCAUCCAAGGCUAAAUACUACUUACUGACCGAUAGUGAACCAGUACCGUGAGGGAAAGGUGAAAAGAACCCCGGAGAGGGGAGUGAAAUAGAAUCUGAAACCGUUUGCGUACAAGCAGUGGGAGCAUGGUUUAGGCUGUGUGACUGCGUACCUUUUGUAUAAUGGGUCAGCGAGUUACUUUCAGUGGCGAGGUUAACUGAAUAAGGGAGCCGUAGAGAAAUCGAGUCUGAAUAGGGCGAUAGUCGCUGGGAGUAGACCCGAAACCGGGCGAUCUAGCCAUGUGCAGGAUGAAGGUUGGGUAACACCAACUGGAGGUCCGAACCGGGUAAUGUUGAAAAAUUAUCGGAUGACGUGUGGCUAGGAGUGAAAGGCUAAUCAAGCCCGGAGAUAGCUGGUUCUCCCCGAAAGCUAUUUAGGUAGCGCCUCGUGAAUGAUUACUGGGGGUAGAGCACUGUUUCGGCUAGGGGGCUGUCAUGGCUUACCAAACCGAUGCAA
rnacentral:rRNA from 2 species